CUGGGUCAGGUUGGCCUGGAUUUGAAUCCCAGAGAAGCUGCAGAGUCUCAGGCAGGGACAAUGUACAUGGCCUCAUGUAGAACUGCAUGUGGAAGACCCUUUACAAGCCCACCUGGAGGGCCAUCAGAGGACCAGGGGUCUCAGUUCCAUGACAACCCUAGACCUACCCCCCGGUUAGAUCAUCUGGCCCUUUGUGAGUGAGGUUUCUCAUCUUACAGGUGCAGAAACUGAGGCACAGAGAAGAAAAGGGACUUACCCAACAAAUGCUUGUUGAGCUUGCAUGUUGACUGGCUGGCUCCCAGUGUCUCGAUGGACCCUACGGCACAUUGGGAGAGACAGACAUCCAGCAAAUGAUGACUCAAUGAUUGUGGAUUGGAUUUCUUGUACAAAGUGGCAAAGUGGAAAGACGAGAAGGCUUGCAUUUAAAGUCAGACCAAGAACCUGCAGACAUGGUUAAAAUUCCAGCUCUCCGACAUAUUGGCUGUGUGACAGAGGGCACAUCACUUCCUCUCUCUCAGUCUUAACUUUCUACCCUCUAAAAUUGAAUGAUAAUUGCUGGUGGAUUCUGACUCCAGCUGCUUAAUGCCUGAAGGCCACUUAUCACCCCACAACCUAUCACUGAUGCAUAGGACCAGAACAGGGCUUCUCAACUUCAACCUUGUUGGCAUUUGGAGUUAAACAUUAACAGUUCUUUGGGGGGGUGGCUGUCCUGUGCAUUGUAGGAUGUUGAGCAACUUCCCUGCCCUCUACACACUAGAUACUCCCAGUGUGACAACCAAAAAUGUCUCCAGACAUUGCCAUAUGUCUCAACUGGGUACCAAAAUCCCCCCUACCCAUCCCCACUUGAGAACCACCAAAGGAAUUCCUCUGAUUAACUGUGCUGGGCAUCCCCUCUUCUGGGCCUCAGUUUCCCCAUCUGUCAAAUGAAUGGCUUAGCCCAGAAGAUGGAUAGCUAUUGGCCUCCCCAAAGCAGAGUUUUCCCCAACUCUAAAUUUUGUGGUGAAAACCCACCAAGUUCUAAGAACAGGCUUGGGACAAGGAGGAGAAAGGACAUUCGGCCCUCAGCUGGAGGGAGGCAGAGCCCUGCAGAUGCCCAUCUCAGGUCCACCUUUUGCGGCCUCUUGUCUGGCUCUAGGCCCUCUCCCUUGCCAGUUUCCUGUUGGCCACCAUGUUUUCCCAGUUGCUCUGGGAACACGUUUCCUUCCCACAUCCCACUGGGAAUAGGAAAGUCCAUUGAAUAUUCAUGAACGUAUAAAAUGAAUUUGUGGUUGAUAUCGAUCUAGUUCCUGAGGCCUAAGCUGGCCUCAUCUUCCCCAAGUGGCCUCUCAGCCCUGGCUUCAUGUUUCUAAGGGAACUUGUCCUGGUUUUCUUGAAAGGUAAUCUUCUUGCGGAUCAACUUUGCUAAGAAAAUGAAAAGCUUUUUCCUCUCCCUUUAAAUCCCUGCUCGUAUCUGCCAAGAGCAGGAAGAGUCCCUGCCAGAGCCUUGGGAUUGCAUUGGGCAUUUGAGCUCUGGAGUCAGGAAGGUCUCUGUUCAAAUACCAGCUGCGUCGGUCCCUGAGUGCUGACCUUGUGCUGGUCACCUGGUUCCUGGAGCCUCGGUUCCUCAUCUGUGUAACAACUAAUGGAGUAAAUAGAGUAAUGGGAAUUCACCAUCUCGUGAGGUGGUUUCUAGCAUUAAAUAAAUUAAUAUAAGUGAAGCACACAGCAUAUUCCUAACAAAUACUCAAUAUGUAAUAGAUAUUCUAGUUUUGUUAUUAAUGAUUACAUAUAUGAUGAUUGAGAAGUCAAAUGAGAUUAUUAUAGCCAGUGCUUUGUAAACUGCUCAGUGCUACGUACAGGAGUAAAUAGUUCUAAGAUGUUAUCAACAUUAUUAGCAUCACUUUGCCAGCCAGCCAAAGCAAAACGGCCCUGGGUGAUCUGUCAAUAUCACAAUCCAGCAGUAUCAGAUGCUGUUUGGCUCUGAUUUCAGGAUCAGAAAUGGCCUACGAAUAGACUCGUUGGCUCAGAUUGACUUAAAGCUUCAUUCUGAAAAAUCUACACCACAGAUUUGGGCCCAGGGAAUUACCCCUAGUGGAGACCAACUGGGCUCCAGAAUGAAGGCUUCGAAUACAAUUUGAAUUGUGUGACUAUGCGAGAAUGUAGACCGUCCCCCACAGCAUGGACAUGCCUAAGACACAGUCGGGUUCAAUCUUGUCAUCAUGGAGGUAGUGACCACCAUCGAAUGGUCCCCAAAUAUGAGCUACCAUGUUAAGUACAUUUUGUGCAUUAUCUCAUUAAUCCUCACAACAACGUCAUAAGGGGGCUAU
rnacentral:lncRNA from 1 species